CCUCAAUUAUGUUGAGGAUAUACAUUGGAUGACCGUAUACCUAAUCUCGGUGGCCCCCCUCUUGUUGAAGUAUACUUUAGAUUUGACACUGGUCAAAAAAAGAUUUGACACUGGUACAUUCUUAAGCAAGAGUAUUAAGCUCUCUUCUUUCUUUCUGCAGGAUCAACUACAAGGAUAUUUCAAACACCUGACCCAAGCUUUUCUUAUGGGACUACAAUGGCAACACAAAAUUCGAUGAACAUUAAAACAAAUGUUACCAUGGCAGCGCAAAAUGUGAAUUAUGGCCAUUCUGUCACCAUGACAACACCGAAUCUGAUGAACAUCAUAACAAAUGUGACAGAAUCUAUGCAAAAUGUGAAUAGUUAUGGGUUUCCAAUAACCAUGACAACACAGAUUCCAAGGAACAUGACAACAAAUGUUACCAAGGCAACACAAAAUGUGAGUGAUGAAACAUUUGAAGAUGACUCUGUGUGUCCUGAAUGCUUCAAAGUGUUUCCCACUCGACGAUGCUUGGAGUAUCAUGAUUCUGUAGUUCACCGUGGAUUCUGUGACGUGUGUCAAAAUCGACUAGAUGGGGAUCAUGACAGAGAGAACCAUGGGAAGACUCACACAGGAGAAAAGCCCUAUCAGUGCCAUCUAUGUUUCAAAUUAUUUGGGAGGGACAUUGCAUUCAAGAGGCACAAUCAGAAAGAUGUGUUUUGUCCUAUAUGUAACACUUUGGUUUCAAGAACUAAUAAAUCAGCUCAUUUAAGACAUCAUGAGAAACAGCAACAAAUAUAAUUAAAACACAAUAUUGUUAUCAUGAUGUUUUGAACUCUAGCAGUUUGCUAUUGGAUAUAUACAAUAUCUUUCCCUGGUGUCUGCUGAUCUCUUCCAAAACAUUUUUUCACCACAGAUGGAAAAAGUCCCAAAGAGUAUGAAAAGAGAACUGAAGAACGUCAUACUGUUGUUAUUCCAUAAAGACCAUUAAAGUAAAAUAACCAUGACCAAGGUAACAUUUAUAAAGACUUACUGUGUUUGUGAUACAAAGAUGAUGCAUCAUAGGAUUCA
rnacentral:misc_RNA from 1 species